GCGGGUUGUGUUCAUGGGACUGACAAUGAAACGGUCGCAGAGGUCGGUUUUCACGGAUAUCGAUGCACUGUAUCUCUCUGGUCAUGUAUCCACCGCCACAAUUGGUUGAGCACUGUGUGAUAAAUAAGAUGCUGAAGAGAUGAAGUUUUCCCUGGAAGACAUCAUGGCGAUCUGAGCUGGAUGGAGAAGAAAAGGAAAGAAAAUGAUGCCGAUCAGAGAAGAUGUAAUUGUUUGUCCAUUUCUUUUCCUUAAACUUAACAUCCGCCCUGUCCACCGCGAAUUGAGAAAUAAUGAUGAGAGUAACAGAUAAAAGCCACGGCCGCGACUGCAAGAAUAAAUUGGAAAAUGAUUUAAAAGCCCAGCUGAGAGCAUUCAGCAAGGAACACGGAGGUUCAGCUCUCCACUUAUCAGAUUAUAUAUUUUAUAUGAUUUAGGCUAUUAAAUUAUGAUGUUAUAGAACUGCAUAUUUAAAGGGGAGCCCCACAUAACACGUGUGCUCCAUGCAGUAUUUCUUCUUGUUGCUUCAGUAUUUCGCGUUGUGCUUCGUCAGGGGGUGUGAUGUCCCCUGAUGAAGCACAACGCGAAACGUACGUUGGGGUUGGAGCUGGUAGGUAGGCAGCAUGCAUGGCAGGAUGUUCUGAUAUUCCAUUUGUAUAUUUUGCAUGAAUUUUUCCUAUAGGCAAUGUCUAUGUAUUUUUUUGGUCCACUGCUUCUCUUUAUCCUUGUGGUUAUACCACUUAUAUUUUUCUCAGUAGUGUUACUGGCAUUAUCUGUAAAAAAAAAUGUAUUUCCCUGUAUUCCAUGUUUUUGCACCCAACCAAACUUCUCUGUUUCUCUGUAGUUGUCAACUCAGUGCCUUUUUUUAUGCUCUCUGCUAUAUUUUAAAUGUAUGUCUAUUUUGCAUAUAUGUCCAAUAAAGUGGUUACUUUUACACUACUGGCUUUUUUGUUGGUGCGUAUCUUUUGAGUGAACCAGUUGUGGCUGUUUCUAUAUAGCCAGUGUGUUUUUUUUGUUUUUGUUAGAGAUAUAUCCUAGAGAACCAGUAGACACUUUCUAGAGCUUGUUAUUUGUUCACAUUUCGUAUAAUCCUUUUAUCUGACAACAAACAGAAAUCUUUUCAAAUGCAACACAAAGCGUUACAGAACUUUUCAU